rnacentral:rRNA from 1 species
CAGUAGCCGCGGUAAUGCGUAGGUGGCAAGCGUUGUCCGGAAUUAUUGGGCGUAAAGGGCUCGCAGGCGGUUUCUUAAGUCUGAUGUGAAAGCCCCCGGCUCAACCGGGGAGGGUCAUUGGAGACUGGGAAACUUGAGUGCAGAAGAGGAGAGUGGAAUUCCACGUGUAGCGGUGAAAUGCGUAGAGAUGUGGAGGAACACCAGUGGCGAAGGCGACUCUCUGGUCUGUAACUGACGCUGAGGAGCGAAAGCGUGGGGAGCGGACAGGAUUAGAUACCCCCGUAGUCCCUGUCUCUUAUAC